UCUCUCUUCUGAAGCUAGGUCAUAAAAGACAUUGUGGAGGCUGCCAUGUUCUCUCUCUCCUCAGUAAGUCUGGGAGGAGCUAGCUGCCAUGCUAUGAGGCCACCCUGCAGCACUAUGGAGAGGACUGCGUGGUGAGGAACAGAAAGUUUCAGUAGAACAGCGAAUCCGGAAAGUAUAUAUAGUAUAUGGAUUCAACUUGUCCACGGCUACAAGGUUCUUCCCUUCUGGAUUCACAGCAGGAUUACAGUCCCUGCUCCUCUGAAGCAACGCAUGGCGAAUUGACUUUAUUUGCAGAGAAACGUGAGCAAAAGUCACAUCUAUCUCUUCGGGAGGGAAGCUCUGGAAGCCAGCAUAGGCUGUGUUGCCUCUCCUUCCUAUCUUUAUGCACUGGAGGGUAAGAGACCCCUAGGCUUGGGUGCCUGAGGAGAGACUUGGGGCAGAGAUGCCAGCUGACCCAAGGUGGACACAGAACACAAGGAGGAAAUAAUCCUUUAUUUUCACAGCAGAAAAUAAGGAAAUAAGAUGUUAGGGCUAUUUCUAAUACACAAACAAGCUCUUCCUGGUUGACAAAUCACGACAAAGCUUAGACCAAUGCUCAAUAAACAUAUACCAAAUGGGAACAAAACACCUGAGUAGUACCUGAAUGCCCACUUAUGUCAGUUUACAUUAGGACCACCCAUCAGCAAAACAGGACUUGGAGCUGCUGUGCUGAACUACUCUGGUGAUGCUGAACCACUUAGAGCCCUGAUGGAAUUGGGGGCAAGGGGAGAAAUGUUUUGGUUUGCAGACAGUCCAAAGGCCUCACCUCUAGGCUUCAGAGCCUGUGGCCCUCUCCAAGAUUACCUGAGAGGGGAAGGUGGUGUGAGGGAACCUGUCACUGACCUCCUAAUGUCCAUUCCCCCUUUCCCUUAAUAAUAAUAACUCAAGGUUUAUCCAGGCACAUUGCCCGCCUCUUAUGCAAAUAGGCUUCAUCAUUUGACUAAAUUCUUCCAAUGAGAUGCAAGCAGAAGUGUUGUGUGGGACCUCUUAGAGGUCUCCUUAAAGAAAAUCAUCCUUUUCCUCACUGCUUUCUGGAAUGAAGCCAUGACAGCCACUCCUCAAGCAUUCUUGAACCAUGACAUCACAUGCUAACGAUGGAACGGCAGCUUGAUAAAGAGGAACCUGGGUCUUUCAUCAAUGACCAUGCCAGCCUUGAACUCCCCGCUCCAGAGCUGACAUUUCCUGUUAGGCAAAGUCAAAACCUGAACCCAACUGAUCUAGACAGAUGUUGAUUUGGGAUGGACCAGUAAAACUUUAUAGCAGAUUAGAAUCCACAGUAAAAGUGUAUUUCAUACUUAAAAUUCAUAUAAUACAAGAAUCAAAGUUUUGGAGAAGGGUUUGUUUCCACCUUGAUUGAUAGAAGAUUCAGAGUUUUUAGGAAAUAGAGGGUGAAGAUUUAAAAAUUUCAUUUAAAAAAUUUCUAGAAUAAAAUAUGCUCUAAUAUUAAAGGCCUUUAGUCAUAGCUAUUAGUUAACCAAAGUAUUUCUUUUACCUGUUUUCGAUGCAAAUUUCAUAAACAGUACCAUGGCCUGCUGCAGAGGGUGCUUUCCAAGAACAGUCCCAUACUCGCAAAUUGUUAGUUAUACACUUCAAAUCACGAGGAGCCCCUGGAGAAGGAGAAACACAGAAUAUGCUUAAUAAUUUCAUUGC